rnacentral:rRNA from 1 species
GAUGAACGCUGGCGGCGUGCUUAACACAUGCAAGUCGAACGGAAAGGCCCAAGCUUGCUUGGGUACUCGAGUGGCGAACGGGUGAGUAACACGUGGGUGAUCUGCCCUGCACUUCGGGAUAAGCCUGGGAAACUGGGUCUAAUACCGGAUAGGACGAUGGUUUGGAUGCCAUUGUGGAAAGUUUUUUCGGUGUGGGAUGAGCUCGCGGCCUAUCAGCUUGUUGGUGGGGUAAUGGCCUACCAAGGCGUCGACGGGUAGCCGGCCUGAGAGGGUGUACGGCCACAUUGGGACUGAGAUACGGGCCAGACUCCUACGGGGGGCAGCAAUGGGGAAUAUUGCACAAUGGGCGCAAGCCUGAUGCAGCGACGCCGCGUGGGGGAUGACGGCCUUCGGGUUGUAAACUCCUUUCGCUAGGGACGAAGCGUUUUUGUGACGGUACCUGGAGAAGAAGCACCGGCUAACUACGUG